rnacentral:rRNA from 1 species
CGUAGGUGAACCUGCGGAAGGAUCAUUGUCAAAACCUGCAA